rnacentral:rRNA from 1 species
GACGAACGCUGGCGGCGUGCUUAACACAUGCAAGUCGAACGGGCCCGCUCUCUUUUUUGGGGGUGGGUUGAGUGGCGAACGGGUGAGUAUCACGUGAGUAACCUGCCCCCUGCUCCUGGAUAACUGCUUGAAAGGGCGGCUAAUACGGGGUGUGCCGGCUGUUCCGCAUGGGCCUGGUCGGGAUAGUUUCAUCUUCGGGUGUUUCGGUGGGGGAUGGGCUCGCGGCCUAUCAGCUUGUUGGUGGGGUGAUGGCCCACCAAGGCGGUGACGGGUAGCCGGCCUGAGAGGGUGGGCGGCCACACUGGGACAGAGACACGGCCCAGAUUCGUGCGGGAGGCAGCAGGGGGGGGUAGUGAACAAUGCGAGGAAGCCUGAUGCAGAGACGUCGCGUGAGGGAUGGAGGCCUUCGGGUUGUGAACCUCUUUCUCAGGGGGUGAAGGCCCUGUCCGUUGCGGCGGGGUUGACGGUAGCCGGGGAUGAAGCGCCGGCUAACUACGUG